rnacentral:rRNA from 1 species
CGUAGGGUGCGAGCGUUAAUCGGAAUUACUGGGCGUAAAGUGUGCGCAGGCGGCUCCGCAAGUCGAGUGUGAAAUCCCCGAGCUUAACUUGGGAAUUGCGCUCGAAACUACGGAACUGGAGUGUGGCAGAGGAAGGUGGAAUUCCACGUGUAGCGGUGAAAUGCGUAGAGAUGUGGAGGAACACCGAUGGCGAAGGCAGCCUUCUGGGCCAACACUGACGCUCAUGCACGAAAGCGAGGGGAGCAAACAGGAUUAGAUACCCUGGUAGUCCACGCCCUAAACGAUGAUGACUAGUUGUUGGAGGAGUUAAAUCCUUUAGUAACGCAGCUAACGCGUGAAGUCAUCCGCCUGGGGAGUACGGUCGCAAGAUUA